rnacentral:rRNA from 1 species
UACGGGGGGGGCAAGCGUUGUUCGGAAUUACUGGGCGUAAAGGGCUCGUAGGCGGCCAACUAAGUCGGAUGUGAAAUCCCCAGGCUUAACUUGGGAACUGCAUCCGAUACUGGAUGGCUUGAAUCCGGGAGAGGGAUGCGGAAUUCCAGGUGUAGCGGUGGAAUGCGCAGAUAUCAGGAGGAACACCGGUGGCGAAGGCGGGUCUCUGGGCCGAUACUGACGCUGAGGAGCGAAAGCGUGGGGAGCGAACAGG